rnacentral:rRNA from 1 species
CGGGGAGCGAAGCUUGCUUUGCUCCGCCGGCGACCGGCGCACGGGUGAGUAACGCGUAUGCAACCUGCCCGUUUCAGCGGGAUAACCCGGAGAAAUCCGGCCUAAUACCGCAUGUGGCCGAGGGAAGGCAUCUUCUUUCGGCCAAAGGAGGCGACUCCGGAGACGGAUGGGCAUGCGUGACAUUAGCUUGUUGGCGGGGUAACGGCCCACCAAGGCGACGAUGUCUAGGGGUUCUGAGAGGAAGGUCCCCCACACUGGUACUGAGACACGGACCAGACUCCUACGGGAGGCAGCAGUGAGGAAUAUUGGUCAAUGGGCGAGAGCCUGAACCAGCCAAGUCGCGUGAAGGAUGACGGCCCUACGGGUUGUAAACUUCUUUUGUCAGGGAGCAAUUGGGUCCACGCGUGGGCUUAGCGAGAGUACCUGAAGAAAAAGCAUCGGCUAACUCCGUGCCAGCAGCCGCGGUAAUACGGAGGAUGCGAGCGUUAUCCGGAUUUAUUGGGUUUAAAGGGUGCGUAGGCGGAAUAUCAAGUCAGCGGUAAAAAUUCGGGGCUCAACCCCGUCGUGCCGUUGAAACUGAUGUUCUUGAGUGGGCGAGAAGUAUGCGGAAUGCGUGGUGUAGCGGUGAAAUGCAUAGAUAUCACGCAGAACUCCGAUUGCGAAGGCAGCAUACCGGCGCCCAACUGACGCUGAAGCACGAAAGCGUGGGUAUCGAACAGGAUUAGAUACCCUGGUAGUCCACGCAGUAAACGAUGAAUGCUAAUUGUCCGGAGGGAUUGACCUCUGGGUGAUACAGCG